UACGUAGGGGGCAAGCGUUAUCCGGAAUUACUGGGUGUAAAGGGAGCGUAGACGGUAAUGUAAGUCUGGAGUGAAAGGCGGGGGCCCAACCCCCGGACUGCUCUGGAAACUAUGUUACUAGAGUGCAGGAGAGGUAAGCGGAAUUCCUAGUGUAGCGGUGAAAUGCGUAGAUAUUAGGAGGAACACCAGUGGCGAAGGCGGCUUACUGGACUGUAACUGACGUUGAGGCUCGAAAGCGUGGGGAGCGAACAGG
rnacentral:rRNA from 1 species